AAAUUGAAGAGUUUGAUCAUGGCUCAGAUUGAACGCUGGCGGCAGGCCUAACACAUGCAAGUCGAACGGUAACAGGAAACAGCUUGCUGUUUCGCUGACGAGUGGCGGACGGGUGAGUAAUGUCUGGGAAACUGCCUGAUGGAGGGGGAUAACUACUGGAAACGGUAGCUAAUACCGCAUAAUGUCGCAAGACCAAAGAGGGGGACCUUCGGGCCUCUUGCCAUCGGAUGUGCCCAGAUGGGAUUAGCUUGUUGGUGGGGUAACGGCUCACCAAGGCGACGAUCCCUAGCUGGUCUGAGAGGAUGACCAGCCACACUGGAACUGAGACACGGUCCAGACUCCUACGGGAGGCAGCAGUGGGGAAUAUUGCACAAUGGGCGCAAGCCUGAUGCAGCCAUGCCGCGUGUAUGAAGAAGGCCUUCGGGUUGUAAAGUACUUUCAGCGGGGAGGAAGGGAGUAAAGUUAAUACCUUUGCUCAUUGACGUUAUCCGCAGAAGAAGCACCGGCUAACUCCGUGCCAGCAGCCGCGGUAAUACGGAGGGUGCAAGCGUUAAUCGGAAUUACUGGGCGUAAAGCGCACGCAGGCGGUUUGUUAAGUCAGAUGUGAAAUCCCCGGGCUCAACCUGGGAACUGCAUCUGAUACUGGCAAGCUUGAGUCUCGUAGAGGGGGGUAGAAUUCCAGGUGUAGCGGUGAAAUGCGUAGAGAUCUGGAGGAAUACCGGUGGCGAAGGCGGCCCCCUGGACGAAGACUGACGCUCAGGUGCGAAAGCGUGGGGAGCAAACAGGAUUAGAUACCCUGGUAGUCCACGCCGUAAACGAUGUCGACUUGGAGGUUGUGCCCUUGAGGCGUGGCUUCCGGAGCUAACGCGUUAAGUCGACCGCCUGGGGAGUACGGCCGCAAGGUUAAAACUCAAAUGAAUUGACGGGGGCCCGCACAAGCGGUGGAGCAUGUGGUUUAAUUCGAUGCAACGCGAAGAACCUUACCUGGUCUUGACAUCCACGGAAGUUUUCAGAGAUGAGAAUGUGCCUUCGGGAACCGUGAGACAGGUGCUGCAUGGCUGUCGUCAGCUCGUGUUGUGAAAUGUUGGGUUAAGUCCCGCAACGAGCGCAACCCUUAUCCUUUGUUGCCAGCGGUCCGGCCGGGAACUCAAAGGAGACUGCCAGUGAUAAACUGGAGGAAGGUGGGGAUGACGUCAAGUCAUCAUGGCCCUUACGACCAGGGCUACACACGUGCUACAAUGGCGCAUACAAAGAGAAGCGACCUCGCGAGAGCAAGCGGACCUCAUAAAGUGCGUCGUAGUCCGGAUUGGAGUCUGCAACUCGACUCCAUGAAGUCGGAAUCGCUAGUAAUCGUGGAUCAGAAUGCCACGGUGAAUACGUUCCCGGGCCUUGUACACACCGCCCGUCACACCAUGGGAGUGGGUUGCAAAAGAAGUAGGUAGCUUAACCUUCGGGAGGGCGCUUACCACUUUGUGAUUCAUGACUGGGGUGAAGUCGUAACAAGGUAACCGUAGGGGAACCUGCGGUUGGAUCACCUCCUUA
rnacentral:rRNA from 1 species